AAAUAUACACGCACACACAGUAACGCUAUGUGGUUGAUAAAGGCGCACGACAAAGGAACUGGUGAAAAUAAACAGAGUUUAAUCAAGUAACACACAGACGAAGAUAACCACAUAAACACAAGCAAUACAUACGAGAACCGACAAGGGACUGAACAGAACAGAGAGUAUAGAUACAUUUAGUAAAUGAGGGACCUAAACAGGAACAGCACACACACACAUAUUACAUAAACACAAACUUUUGUUAGAUGUGAUUAAUCACGAUUAAUCGAUUUAACAGCCGUACUACAUUUUAAUUUUUUAACAUGCACUGUAAUGAAUUGCUGUAAAAAUUACAGCAAUAUUUUACAGCCGAUGGCUGUAUUUUAAUAAUACAGCAUAUUGCUGUAAAUUGAAAUGAAUUCCGGGGGGCGUGGCGGUUUGAAUCAAAUUUACAGAAUAUUGCUGUAAAUUUCAAAUAUACAGAGGCAUUGUGGGAUCUCCAACGGUCAAGAUUCGGGUAGCAGCAAGAGGAGUGAUUUACAACUGUGGCACUAUAUCUGGAGAGAGGAACAAAGAUGAAAGGAAAAGUGCCAUCUAAAACAACAGGCCAGACAGUUCAGAAGAAACGGGUUGCGUUCAACCUACAUGUUGCGACUCUUCUGUGCAAAGUGAUGGAUUUUCAGUGGAAUUUCUGAAAUCCUCUCUUUGAAUCCUGGGAUGGAACAUCAUCUGGAGCAGAAUUGUUUUUUUUUUUGAUCGCAAGUUUGUUGGACUUGUUGUUUGGCCAUGUUGGUCUGUUCAUGAAGUGAUGAAAGUGAUCUGGGUUUUAAGAACUGUUUUUAUAUGACCCUGUUGGUCAAGUUAUAGUUAUAAUUGUAUUUCUUUGUGUGAAGGGCCGUGAUGGCCAAUAAGUAAUUUAAAAACAUUUUCAUGACAAUUUUGUCCAUUUAAAAAAUAAAAUGAUUUUCUAAAUAAAAAAUAAAUUCAAACUAAUACACUUUUUAUGGCAUU